rnacentral:rRNA from 1 species
CCUGGCGGCGAUGCCUACCAUGCAAGUCGAGCGAACCUUCGGGGUGAGCGGCGGACGGGUGAGUAACGCGUGGGUAACCUGCCCUGUACACACGGAUAACAUACCGAAAGGUAUGCUAAUACGGGAUAAAAUAUGAGAGUCGCAUGGCUUUUGUAUCAAAGCUCCGGCGGUACAGGAUGGACCCGCGUCUGAUUAGCUAGUUGGUAAGGUAACGGCUUACCAAGGCAACGAUCAGUAGCCGACCUGAGAGGGUGAUCGGCCACAUUGGAACUGAGACACGGUCCAAACUCCUACGGGAGGCAGCAGUGGGGAAUAUUGCACAAUGGGCGAAAGCCUGAUGCAGCAACGCCGCGUGAGCGAUGAAGGCCUUCGGGUCGUAAAGCUCUGUCCUCAAGGAAGAUAAUGACGGUACUUGAGGAGGAAGCCCCGGCUAACUACGUGCCAGCAGCCGCGGUAAUACGUAGGGGGCUAGCGUUAUCCGGAAUUACUGGGCGUAAAGGGUGCGUAGGCGGUCUUUCAAGCCAGAAGUGAAAGGCUACGGCUCAACCGUAGUAAGCUUUUGGAACUGUAGGACUUGAGUGCAGGAGAGGAGAGUGGAAUUCCUAGUGUAGCGGUGAAAUGCGUAGAUAUUAGGAGGAACACCAGUAGCGAAGGCGGCUCUCUGGACUGUAACUGACGCUGAGGCACGAAAGCGUGGGGAGCAAACAGGAUUAGAUACCCUGGUAGUCCACGCCGUAAACGAUGAGUACUAGGUGGUCGGGGGUUACCCCCCUCGGUGCCGCAGCUAACGCAUUAAGUACUC